CGCGGUAUUUUGACCGUGCGAAGGUAGCACAAUAAUGAGCCUCCUAAUUAGAGGAUAGAAUGAAUGAACCAACAAGAUAAAAUCUGUCUCUCUGAAUCUUGAUCAAAAUUUAUCUACAAGUGAAAAAGCUUGUGUUUCCCACAAAGACAAAAAGACCCUAAAAGCUUAAAUAACCUCCAAUUCCUUAAAGAGAAAACAUUUAGUUGGGGCGACUCCAAGAAUCAAACACUUAUUAUAAAUUAAGGCAAUUACCUUCACUCUUUAGCCUAAAACACUCAAGCAAGUUACUUUAGGGAUAACAGGCCAGUAUUUCUUUAGAGUACAUAUCGACAGAAAUGCUCGGCACCUCGAUGUUGGCUUAGGGAACCUAUUUCAUGCAAAAGUAAAAUCAGGAGGUUUGUUCAACC
rnacentral:rRNA from 1 species